rnacentral:lncRNA from 1 species
AUGCUGUUCUUCGACUACAGGUCAGCAUUUAACACCAUAGUACCCUCCAAACUCGUCAUUAAGCUCAAGACCCUGGGUCUCGUCCCCGCCCUGUGCAACUGGGUCCUGGAUUUCCUGACGGGCCGCUCCCAGGUGGUGAGGGUAGGUAACAUCAUCUCCCCCCCGCUGAUCCUCAACACUGGGGCCCCACAAGGGUGUGUUCUCAGCCCUCUCCUGUACUCCCUGUUCACCCAUGACUGCAUGGCCAUGCACGCCUCCAACUCAAUCAUCAAGUUUGCAGAUGACACUACAGUGGUAAGCUUGAUUACCAACAACGACGAGACGGCCUACAGGGAGGAGGUGAGGGCACUCGGAGUGUCGUUUCAGGAAAAUAACCUCACACUCAAUGUCAACAAAACAAAGGAGAUGAUCGUGGACUUCAGGAAACAGCAGAGGGAGCAGCCCCCUAUCCACAUUGACGGGACAGUAGUGGAGAAGGUGGGAAGUUUUAAGUUCCUCGGCGUACACAUCAUGGACAAACUGAAAUGGUCCACCCACACAGACAGCAUGGUGAAGAAGGCGCAGCAACACCUCUUCAACCUCAGGAGGCUUAAGAAAUUCGGCUUGUUAUCAAAAACCCUCAUAAACUUUUACAAAUGCACAAUCGAGAGCAUCGGGCUGUAUCACCUCCUGGUACGGCUCCGCCCACAGCCGCAAGGCUCUCCAGAGGGUAGUGAGGUCUGCACAACGCAUCACCGGGGGCAAACUACCUGCCCUCCAGGACAUCUACACCACCCAAUGUCACAGGAAGGCCAAAAAUAUCAUCAAGGACAACAACCACCCGAGCCACUGCCUGUUCACCCCGCUAUCAUCCAGAAGGCGAGGUCAGUACAGGUGCAUCAAAGCGGGGACCGAGAGACUGAAAAACAGCUUCUAUCUCAAGGCCAUCCGACUGUUAAACAGCUAUCACUAACAUUGAGGGGCUGCUGCCAACAUACUGACUCAACUCUUGCCACUUUAAUAAUGGAAAAAUUGAUGUAA